rnacentral:tRNA from 1 species
AUUUAGUGACUGAAAAGCAAGUAAUGGUCUCUUAAACCAAUUAAUGGUAAUUAGCAAAUACCCUAAAUAAA